CCUUAUAUCUGUAGAGCUUUGAACAUUGUAUAUGUGUCUUUUCUUUUUCACGAGCUGUUCUCCCUGUAUCUCCAUAGGUUUCUAACUUGAGAGUAGCCCAGGGGCUUGCAGUAUUUAUAAUUGUUUAUUUUAAGUUUGAAAGUUUCAGCUACUUUAGACUCUGCAGCCAUCAUUUCCUACAACAUGGGGGUCACUCCAACAUCUUCCUCCCAUAGAUCUGCGACACUUACUUGGCUUUUCGAACCUAUCGUUUAAAAAAUGCAUUUUUGGGGCUCCUGGGUGGCUUAAUCAGUUAAGCCGCUGACUCUUUGAUUUUGGUUCAGGUCAUGAUCUCAGGGUCCUGGGAUCGAGCCCUGCGUCAGGCUCCGUGCUCAGCAGGAAGUUUGCUGGAAGAUUAUUUCACUCCUUCUGCCUCUGCCCCUCUGUUCGUCAAAUAAAUAAAUAAAUAAAUCUUUUUUUAAAAAAUAAAAAAUGCAGGUGUUUUGGGUUAUUUCUUGGAAUUUUGGAGGGAAAAAGCAGACAAUUGUUCUAAAAUCAUAUAUUAAUCCAGGGCUCUCUCUGUGUAUUUCUAAAGGACUAGCAGUUUCAACAAAAGUACAUUUGGCAAGACAGGAUAUGUGGAUACAGAAUAAUUCUUGGCUAAACUCUAAAGAGGAUAGUGGCAAACAAAAAAUAAGCCAGGCCUAUCUAUCAUGCUAUUUCACAUGUAUUAUCUUACUUAAUCUUCACAGCUAUAUGGCAAGGUAACUAUAUAAUCAUGUCCAUUUUAUAGUUGAGAAAACCAAGGCUCAGAUGUAGUGAAUUCACCUACUAAAUGCAGAGUCUGGUCUCACAAUCAGUUUUUCUGAUGUACCCUGCCUAAGGCAUUCUUUUAAACAACUAAGUGGUUUUAUUUCUCUGAUAACAUUUCAUCAACCUACAAAAUAAGACUGAAUGAUGUGGUUACUAUUGUGAAUAUCUGCCCUCAUCACUGCCCAUCAUUUUCUGAGCACUGUAGUUUGAUAGUGCCCUAGGGUAUAAAGCUUGCUUUAUCCAGUAGAAUCCCAGAGACAAAACCAAACCCUCAUCCCCCAGCCUGUCUCAUUGUUAGAGUGCCCAUGUGAUUUUGGCAUUGCCAAUCUGAUGCCUCCAUGUGAGACACUGAUUUGAAUGGAGUCAGAGCAUUGUUUUUUUUUUUUUUUUUUUCUAAUGUAGAAUGCAGCAGAAACAGUGAGGUCCUGGGCCACCCUACAGCAGUGGUUCUUGAUUCAGGGGUUCCCCAUCGGCAGCAGCUCCAUUGGUAACCCAGUUCUGUUGUGUGGUUCUGUGAGCCCAGCUUAGAGUCUUGUUUCUUCAGCUGUCCCAGUGAUUCUGUGAGCCAUGUGCCAUAGCAAAUUCCAGUCUCCCUACACAAACCAGAAUAAAUCCUACUAUUUACAAAUAAAGCCCCUCAUCAAUAGAUAAGGCCUGUUUAUGUUGUAAUGUCUUAUGACUCAGAUUGUUGGUGUGCAUGAAAACUUUGUUUAUUCCUAACCUUUUUAUUCUAAAAUAAUAGAUGAAAACAUGCACUAAAAGUAUAAUGAGUAUAACAGUGUGCACUGGUCAUCUAUUACUGCUCAGGUCAGGGAGAUAAUCGCUAGCACCUCUAAAGCUCCUUUAUGCCCCUCAAAGAGCCUGCAUGGUCCCACUUUCCUCCCUUUCUCUCAGAAAAAAAGAACUAUCUAAAGUUAUAGUCAUCUAUUCCUUGCUUUUCUUUUUGAUUUUACCACCUGUCCUCCUGAAACAAUAAGAGUUUUGCUGCUUUUUGAAAUUUACACAUGUGAAAUUGUACUAAAUGUGUUGUUUUAUGCUUCGCUUAAUUUUUUUUUAAGAUUUUGUUUAUUUAUUUAUGAGAGACAGAGAGAGAGAGAGGCAGAGACACAGGCAGAGGGAGAAGCAGGCUCCAUGCAGGGAGCCUGACAUGGAACUUGAUCCCGGGUCUCCAGGAUCAGGCCCUGGGCUGAAGGCAGCGCUAAACCGCUGAGCCACCCGGGCUGCCCCACUUAAUUUCACUCAAACAUCGUAUUUGUUAAGAGUCAGAAAGUUUUGAGUAUAGCUGUAGUUGUUCACUUUUAGCUUCAUGUAGCAUGCCAUUGUGUAGCUCUACCAUUUUGUACUAGUAGACAUCUGUGUCAUUUCCAGUUUAGGACAAUCAUGGGUGGCCAUGCAGAAGAGAAAGAGAGAGAGCUCUCAUGUCUCUCCUCUGCUUCUCAUGCUUGGCACUUGUGGGUAGAUGUAUUGGGGGUUCUUCCCAUACCAAGCAGUUCUCUGAUUCUCUGGACACAACACCUGGAUGUCCUACAAUUCAGCUCAGUUCUGACUGUCUACCUGGAGAUAGCAUUAGAUCUCAUGGGUCAGACUCUCACUCCUACAACAUUGCCCCCACUUUAGACACCAGUUGCAAAUUCUCGUACUUUGACCUGCUAUAAAUCAGGGCUCCCACAACAUUCUCCUAAUUUGAUAAUUUGCUACAAUGGCUCACAGAACCCAGGAAAUACAUUUACUGGCUUAUUCUAUAAUAUAGGAUGUGAUAAAGAAUAUGGAUGAAUGAUCAGAUGAAGAGACACAUAGGGCAAGCGCCUGAAUUCAGGAGCUUCUGUCCCCGGGGAGUUAGGGUAUGCCACCUUUUCUGGCACAUAGAGGUGUUUACCAAUUUAGCAGUUCUCCGAACCCCAUGGGUCAGAGAUUUUAAUGGAGGAUUCAUCAUUGAUGUAGGCAUGAUUUGUGAUUAAAUCUCCAGCCCCUAUCCCCUUUCUGGAAGAUGGGGACCAAAAGUUCCAAGCUCCUAAUCAUGACUUGGUCUUUCUGGUGAUCAGCCCUCUAAGGACCUAGAACGAAUUUUAACACAUGAAGGUUUUCCCCUACACCAACAAGGCAUUCUCCAACAUUAGCCAAUGUCCUACAAUUCAAUUCAGUUCUGAUACUGUCUACCUGAAGAUAGUGUCAAAUCCCAUAGAAUAAGAACCUGAUCCUACAAAGCCACCUUCCACUUCAGACACCAGUUGUUAAGUCCAGAUUGUCCUCCAUGCUUCUGACUGGUCUAUGGAUUGAAGCUUCCCUUGACCCCCUCAUUGGGUUUGAUUGAUUUACUAGAUUGACUCACAGAACUCAGGAAAUCCAUUCACUCUCUAGAUUAUCAAUUGAUUACAAAGGAUAUUAAGCAAAUCAACAGCCUGUUUGAAGAGACACAUUGGACAAGAUUUGAGGAAAGGAUAGAGCUUCCAUGCUGAGUGAGCCACCCUCCCCAAAUCUCCGUGUAUCACUAACUUGAAAGCUCUCUGAACUCCUUCCUUUUGGGUUUUUGUGGAGGCUUCAUUAUAUAGGCAUGGUUGAUUGAAUCUUUGGUCACUGGCAGGUGAUUUAACCUUCACCUCCUCUCCCCUCCCUGAAGUCAGGGCAUGGAACUGAAAGUUCCAGUGCUCUAAGCACAUGGUUGGUUCUUCUGGCAAUCAGCCCUCACCCUUAGGUGUCAUUUCCAUAUCACCUUAUUAACAUAACUGAAGACCCUUCAGCCACUCUCAUCACUUAGGAAAUUCCAAGGGUUUUAGAGGUCUGUGCUCGAAAUGAGAGUAAAACCAAAUAUAUUUCUUACAAUGAGUCAGAAUAUCAGAAGCCCUCAUCCAGGAGCUGUCCAGAGGCCCAUCAAGAGUCACCUCAUUAGAAGAGAAAAGCUGCUCCUGUCACCCAGGAAUUUCCCAGGGAUGUAG
rnacentral:lncRNA from 1 species